GAUUUUGCAAGCGUUCGAAUUCGUCGUACCCUCGUGUUGGAUAACUAUAAUUUUUGGAAUCGCCUCUUCGGGGUUAUCCGUUGAGGCAAA
rnacentral:snRNA from 14 species